rnacentral:lncRNA from 1 species
UGGAGUCGUCGCUCCCGUGUCGCCAGACAUGUGACGUGCGCGCCACGCCGACGGGCGCGGGUGGUCGAGACGCAGAGCAAACAGAUCGACGGGCAGUCGAAGGUGGGCAAAGAGCGACCGCCGGUCGGGUCCGCCCAAGAGACCCACGCGACUAGCAAACCGUCCGCGGCCCACGUAAAAGUCAAACCGACGCGCGCGGAUGGCGGCCGUGGCGCCGUCGCCCGCCGGAUCCUCCACGGGAAUGACCACGUCAGAGCAGUAGAGUUGCGCGCGCUUGGCCGGCAGCGAACACACGAGAUCGGCGGCGGGCACGCGCAACCGCGCCUCGCGCAGGUCGUGCGUCGACACGGUGAGCGUGCGUCGCGUCGUGCUCACUGCCACCCACACGGCCUGGCCGGCGAUGCACACGGGCAGUUGCCACGUGCGCUUGCGUCGCGCCAGCGGCACCACGAGGCCGUCGGCAUUGAAUAGUGGUGGCGGCGGCGAUGGUGAUUCUCGGGGGCGCGCGUCGCCGUGCCGGUGGUCUUUGUUGUGCUCUAUCGGAGGCGGCGCCAUCACGGGCGUCUUGCGCGGUGGGCUUGGUUUGACGACCGGCGGCGGCAUCGCGGUGCCGUUGGAGGAGAUGUCACGCGGGAGUGCAUGGCGUGGCGGUUGCGACGCCGGCAGCGAUGCCUCGAUUGAUCGUCGCCCCGAGUGCCGCGACCCUCUCGAUGGCCGACCGCGCACCGGAAGUGCGCGCAGCGCCGGCGGGCCGACGGGCGACGGCCGGGCAAACUCGGCCGCGGCCACAAUCGGGUCGUGCAGCCAACGGUUGUCGACAGGUGCGAGGCCGUUGGUAGGCACGAGUGCAACGUCGCGUCUGGGGUCGUCGCCGCCACGGGCGUUGCGAUCAUCGCCAUUGUCAUCAUGGUUGUUGUUGUGGUCGCCAUAGGGGUCGCCAUAGACAUCAGCCUCGAUGCGCCCGUGGUCCCUGCCGUCUCCAUCGCCAUAAUAGUCAUAAUCGUGGUCAAAGAGGCCCGGCGGCGGCAGGGCCGAUGCGUCGGCAAGGCGCGACGGUAUGCCGCUGAAUACCAUGGUCGACGACGACGAGGGUGUUGACGGCAAGAGGAUGUCGGUUUUGGAUGAAUCGUCCUCGUCCACGUGUGCGCCGACAUCAUUCUUGAUAUAACGGUCGUCAUAGUCGUGCGCCCCAUAGGUGGCAUCAUUGGUGGCGUCAUAGGCCUGCUGCGUAUAUGCGUGGCCGCCAAAUGGCGUGUCGCACAGGGCAUCGCUGGUCGUGGCAUCAUGACGGCCGCGUGUGGCGUCUGUGCUUGUGGUGGUCGUGGUCGUGCCGGCUCUGCCGUGGGCGCCGCGGUAGGUCGCAGGCACCUCGUCGAGCGCCCAGAUGUUGGCGGGCGCGCCGGGAUCGCUUUCGCGGCGUGCGCGUUGGCGCCAUGGAUCUGAAUAUGCACGCACGCGCCCAUUGCCGCAAGGCCACCUUUAGUAGGUCUGACUGAACUCCCAGGAAAAAAACACUGAAAGAGACAAAAAAUAAAAGAAAAUACAUAAAA